UUCGACAAGAAAGUGUUAAACUGAGUCGUCCCACCUGUUGACAAGAAACUUCUGGGUUUUCCUCAACAUCUUCAAACUCUUGCCCUCUUGGUUAACCAAUUGUUCAUCAAACUAUGGGAACUGCCGCAUAAACUCCCCAGCAUAUGCCUAAAAAACCCACCAAAAUUUUACCCUUAAUUGUCCAGGCACAAUGCAAAUAUGAUAGUUAACUAUUUAGGAAGCAGUUGAUAAUUAAUUAUUUAGGAAGCGGCCUAGUCCUUCUUCACAUCGAAAAUGUGAAUAAACUAAUCCAGUUCAAAUUCUUGAUUUGCAAGUAAUUUAAGGUAAAAAUUGAGUUAAGAUCGCAUGAUUCCAGGAUCUGACUUUGCGUAUCGAAAAAUUUAAUCCUGUUCAGUCUUUAACUCACCAUGGUUAACCAUGGCUCAACACCAGUCAGAGACAUGAUGGAGAAUCAAUUGACAAAACUCAUUGUUGAAAACAAGACUUACUAUAUUUAAGCUAAAUUCCUGGGUUUUCAAGAAAGAGCUUCAAAGUUUCUGAAGAAACUGGUCACGCCACUCGUUGCUGCAGAUUCUCAAAAACAGAGUUCCCACGAAUAUUAGAAAUGUGACAAUUUGUGACGAGCAACUGGCUUCAUUGUUCACGGAGUCAUAGUGUUCACUAUUCUCAUAUCUGCUUGUCCUUGUCAUAAUGCCAUGUUCCGUUGGUUCAUCAUUGUUUUCCCUCAUUUGUAACAAGGCCUCAAGCUCAAGUUCAUCUUUAUACAACAAACGAAGUCCAAAAUCCUUCAUUUCUCCAAAAAAUAACAUAAUGCGCCCAUAGUCAUUUGGUGUUUUUCCAUUUGCCUUAGACAUACCCCAUUUGCCAGCAAAAGAUACCAAGAAAAA